rnacentral:rRNA from 1 species
GUCUGUCGUGUCGGACGCUCUCGGGAGAAAACCGGGUAGGGCUUCCCGUGACAGGGGCCGUCUCCCGGGGCGUCUUCCGGCGCUUCAGACGCAUUUGUCUCUCGUCCGAAGGACGCUGCAGCCGGUCUGGCAGUGCAAGCGCGACGGCCUGAAGGUCGGGAGCUGGCAGGUGGCCGGUGGUUCGCCUCGUGCGGAUUAUCGGUUGUUAGCCGUCCCGUCGGUGGCCCGUCGCCAGACCGUGGUGUCGCGAGUCCCUUCGGGGACUCCUCGUCUCCACCCCAGUGUCGCGGGUAGAUCACGUCAAGGGUCUUUGGUCGAUCCGUCGCACUCCCUCGGAGUGGGCGGGCAGGCACGAGGCCCCGUUGGGCGUUGGCAGGACCCGUUGGGGACCGGAGGCUGGCAGCGAGUAGGUCGGUCACCCACCCGACCCGUCUUGAAACACGGACCAAGGAGUCUAACAUGUGCGCGAGUCAAUGAGUCUUGAACAGGCUCAGGGGCGCAAUGAAAGCGAAGGAUGGCCUCGCGUCAUCUGAGUGGGGAUCCCCGCCUUCGGGUGGGGCGCACCCGCGACCCGUCCUAUCCGGCUCGCCGGUUGGGCGGAGUCUGAGCGUACACGUUGGGACCCGAAAGAUGGUGAACUAUGCCCGGACAGGACGAGGCCAGAGGAAACUCUGGUGGAGGUCCGCAGCGG